GUGAGGUGAAGCUGGUGGAGUCUGUGGGAGGCUUAGUGCAGCCUGGAGGGUCGCUGAAACUCUCCUGGGCAGCCUCUGGAUUAACUCACUGACAACUGAAUGACCUGGGUCCUUCAGGCUCCAAGGAAGGGGCUGGAGAGGGUGGCAAUAAUUUUUAGUGGUGGAGGUAGCACCUACUAUAUAGACGCAAUGAAGGGCCGAUUCACCGUCUCCAGAGAUGAUAACAAAAACACACUUUACCUGAAAAUAAACAGUCUGAGGUCUGAGUACACAGCCAUG